GAUUUCCACAAGCCUACUAACAAUAUAUAUUAGUAUAUUAUAUAAACUACCUCAAAUCAAUGUAUCAAACUAGGCAUACAACAACACCUAAGAUUAAACGUGCAAGUGAAUAAUUGAGUUCCUAACUCAUUUAAUACAUCACUCUUUAGGAAGACGCUUAAAUUAGACAGUGUUCACAUAAUAAAUUUGAAACCUCGAACUAUAAUUCUGAAUCCCUUUGUUCAACACCCGACUUUGAACUACUAAGUGUAUAAAAACUCAUUCCACCAUAUGGUCGACACAUGACUGAACUAUGCUAAAACCUUAGACAAUACUCAUGGGUAAACUAAGCUAUUUUAAACAUGAGUUCACAAUCAUACACCACAAGCCAUUCACAGCAAAAGAAUAUCUCAUAGUAUCUUUCAAACAACACACUACACUUUAAUACUUUUGCCCUUAGCCUCCUUUCAGCCAGUCCAUCAUAUAUUUCAGGUUUAACUAGUCCAAGUUACACAAACUAUAACAGAUCUUAGUUAUUCAAACCUCUAGAUUACCAUUACAUAUCUAACAGAACUUAGACAUUCAAAAUGAUCAGAAAAUAGAACUGCAUAGAAGCCAAUGCAAUAACAGUAGUGCUUGCAUUUCAAUCUCUCUUCCAAAUAGGCUUUAUUCAACUUAAUAUUUAUACGUCAUUCAAUGUUGAGAUAAAUACCUGGGCACAGAACAGAAAAGGAGAAGACGGAAUCAGCUGAUACACCAAUCGAGCAGCAACAACAAUCAGCAAUCAACAAAAACCAGUAACAACCAAUAAAACCCAGCAGCAGAGUAACAGAAGGCCAACAGAACUCCCAACAACCCAAUAGAACAGUAACAAUAACCAAUAGCAAACUCAGGCAAACCCAAAUGACAAACCAGAGAUACCAAUCAACCACACAAACAGAACCAGACUGAUUAAGAGGAUGCAAUGAAACUAUGAAUUUUCUCUUCAACUCUCAAAUACUGAACUUUAAGUGUUAAAGUCUAGCAAAGUUUUUCCGGAGAAAGAAACUGAAAGAAAACUGAUGGACUACUUGUGCAGGGAUUAGCCUACGUUUGCUUUUUAACUCUGAAUUCUUAAUGUAAAAUCCAGCUCUUAAACACUCGAUAUCUAGUCCAAAAAUUCAGUCCUCUCUUUUCUGCUCUCAAAACUUAAUUUCUAAUGCUCUAAAAAUCUCCCCCCAUUCAGUCUUCAAUUCCCCCUAUUUAUAACCCAUUUCCACCCUAAAAAGCACUAAGCCAGUUGCCUCAUUCAUUACUCCGUCAUGCCCCAUUUUGCCUUUUUAGCUCUAUGGAGCGUUAUCUCUAAUUAAAGAAGUAAAUGUACCCAUGUUCUUUUCUGCAUUUCCCAUUCAAAAGUUCAAAAGGAGUAAUAUUCCCUGACAUCCCCCCAUUUAAUAUUAAAGUGUUUUCCCUUUUAUUAAACUAGAACAAUAUGGGCAGCAGGAAUAUGCCCUGACAGCACAUGCUGUCAAAUUACCUUAGACUCAUUAAAGAAUUAACAGUUCACAUGCUUGCUGGGGUCCUAAACAAAGCCAAUAUUCAUCUAAAAAUGCAUAAACCAGGGGAUCAUUUCAAUACUAGUCUAAACUAAAUGCCUGGUUAAUUGCAAUUCAAAUUGAAACUAGUAUGAAUUCAAAUGCUAAUGGAUUCAGGCAAAAGAAUCAAAUUAACAUGAAAUUUUGAAUCCAGCAUAGGCAAACUGGUACCAACCAGCUCGAAGGGCACGAACAAAUUUCAAACCAAUAAUCGGCCAAACUUAAUUACAGACAUAUAUAAUUACAAACAAAGAAAAUCGACCAAAUAAAAUCUCUGUUGGAGAUGGAUAGAAAUGAAAGACUAAAAAUUGAAAACUUAAAUAAACUAAACUAAAUGCGUAUCAGAUAGGAAUCAUGCAUAUAAAAUAAAAUGAGGAAGAAAAGGUACCUCGGGCAUUCAAAGAACACAGACGACCCAUGUUCGAAACCGGACUUGCCUGCUCUGAGGUCGAACAGACCUUAGUCAAAGUGUUAUCACAUGAUAACACCUUGAUUAAGGUCAAUUAAACCCCAAAUCCAUAACUUAUUCAGACAGAUUCCAAGCUUUGAAAUUUUUUUCUUCAAACUAAUUUGGGGUUUAUGAUUUUCUGGGUAGAUUCGAAUGGGACCAAAGGCGUUUAGGAUAUGAGAGAGGUCAGAUGGUGACAUGGUGUGACUUUGGGGGUUGGUUGGGGUAGGUUUGGGUUUCAAUUGAAUUUUUGAUUGAAGAUUCGAGAAGCUAAAGAUUGAUUCGAGGUAAGUAGUUAAGGGAUUCGUGUUCAAGGAGCAAAGUGGGUUAAGGGGUGUUAAUUUUGUGGUCAUUGGCAUCGUUGCCGCCAGGCUUACGGCGAAGGGGAGGGGUGGCGGUUGCUAGGGUUUUGGGGAAGGGUUUGAUCUCUGAACUCAGAGACGAAGAGGGGGGUAUGGCUAUGGGGGGAUGGAUAGGAGCUUAGGAUUAUAUACUAAGUGGGGUUUCUAAUCCUAUCCGUCAGAUCUAUUAAGAUCAAUGGCUAGGAUCAGUAGGCUUGCCAACUACAAUAUCAUUUGGGUUAAUUGGGGAUUGGGUCGGUCUUGAAUGGGAACGGGUCGUGUACGAUGGGAAGCUGGGGGCCGUUGGACUAUAUUGGGUGAAUGGUUGUGAUCGUUUGGAGACAAAAUGACGUAGUUUCACUACUAUACUACGUCAUUUAACUGGUCUUGGAGACAAACUGAUUUGGACCGGGUUGGAGGUUGUUUUUGGGCUUGAUUUUUUUUAAAUUAAAUCUAGUCCAAUUUGAUUUUACCCUCUUAUUUUCCACUCUUUUAUUUUCUUUCAUAUUCUUUUCCUUUCAUUUAUUUAAACAAAAUUCCUAAUUAAUUUGUAAAAUCAAAACUAAACUACACAAAUAUUAAUUAAUACCCAACAACAAUUGUCACAUAAAUUAAAAUCUUGAAAUAAAAUCACACAAUAAAAUGCAUAUUUUUGUGAUUUUCAUUUUAACCAAAUUAUGGUUAAUUAACUCUUAGAAUGCACGUCUAGUUCCUAAUUCGUACAACAUGUAUAUUUUUGUAUUUCUUAAUUAUUUUGACAAAUAAACACGCACAGACAGAAAAUGCAAACGCUAAAGAAAAGGUAACCCAAAAAUUCACAAAAAUCACACACAAUGCAAAACUAUUUUAUUUUAAAUUUUUUGGAGUAAUUGUCGUGAGAGCCAAAAUCACUUGCUCACAGCCGCCCCCUUUUUGUCCGAAAACACAAAGAGUUUUCGUGCAAAGAUAAAGUGAGCGGAUACGAGCAAUUUUUGUCUGUUGGAAUACUCCGUGUGAAGCAUUUUUUGAAAAAGGUUUAACCGAACCUUUGCUUCAAAGGUCCCCUACAUAUCCCUGGCUAAAAGGGAAUUAGGUUAAUGUAGUUUAGGGAGUUUUGGUAACUGGGACUACCGUGGGACUGCGGUUUGGCUGUUAGUGCUGCUGCAUGCUGUUACUGUUACCGCUGCUUUACCGAUCUCCUUAUUACACCGUGCUAAAAGGAAAACAAAAAGCUAGGCUAACCUAUGGAUCAAAAGAUCCUAUCUAUCUUCAGCUUGUUCUUGCUGCCUUGCUUUCUUGUCAGCUUGUGUUUCUUCCGCAACUUUUUCCUUUCAAGAACUUUGGGGAUGACACUGGCCCCUUUCUUUUCUGAAGACCAGUUUUCACCGUCGUCUUUGGUCUACUGGGGAUAUGGUUUCCUCCAUUUAGCUUUCCGGUGGUUCCUCUAGGUAUACAACUCUCUUCAUCAUACUUGUUAUGCUGGGAACAAUUGAGGUUCAAAGGCCGCUCCCCUUAAGAUUUGUCUUAUCUUCCUUUUGACUCAUGCGCUUGAAUUUGUGCUGGGGCCCUUUGUUAUAGCCUUAUGCCUUCCGGUGGGUUACCGGUUUCAAAACCUGAAACGUAAAUACUGAAAAGUAUUGCUCUUGUUAUACAGGUGGGCCCCUAAUAUUCUAAAAGCAUGCAAAAAUAUUCCGCUUAUUAUACAGGUGGGCGCCUAUUUAUCUAUAACAUGAAAAAUAUUCCACUUAUUAUACAGGUGGGCGCCUAUUUAUAUAAAGACAUGAAAAGUUAUUCCACUUAUUUUACAGGUGGGCGACUAUUAUUCUAAAGAUAUGAAAUAUUAUUCCACUUAUUAUACAGGUGGGCGCCUAUAUAUGCAAAAAAUUAUUCCACCUAUUAUGCACGUGGGCGCCUAUUUAUCUAAAGACAUGCAAAAAUUAUUCCACUUAUUAUACUGGUGGGCGCCUAUUUAUCUAAAGUAUGAAAAGUAUUCCACUUGUUAUACAUGUGGGCGCCUAUUUAUCUAAAGACAUGCAAAAAAUUAUACCAGUUAUUAUACAGGUGGGCGCCUAUUUAUCAAAAGCCAUGCAAAAAAUUAUUCCACUUAUUAUACAGGUGGGCACCUAUUUAUCUAAAGACAUGAAAAAUUAUUCAGCUUAUUAUCCAGGUGAGCGCCUAAUUAUCUAAGCCAUGCAAAAAUUAUUCCACUUAUUAUACAGGUGGGCACCUAUUAAUCUAAAGAUAUAAAAAAUAUUCCGCUUAUUAUACAGGUGGCCCUAUUUAUCUAAAGCAUGAAAAGUAUCCCACUUGUUAUACAGGUGGGCGCCUAUUUAUCUAAAGACAUGCAAACAAUUAUUCCACUUAUUAUAAAGGUGGGCGCCUAUUUAUCUAAAGCCAUGCAAAACAUUAUUCCACUUAUUAUACAAGUGGGCGCCUAUUUAUCUAAAGACAUGAAAAAUUAUUCCACUUAUUAUACAGGUGGACGCCUAAUUACUAAGACAUGAAAUGUAUUCCCUUGUUAUUCAGGUGGGCGCCUAAUUGGUAAAUACACGAAACAUAUUCCCUUGUUAUACAGGUGGACGCCUAAUUGGUAAAGACGUGAAAAUUAUUCCCUUGUUAUACAGGUGUGCGCCUAAUACUAAGACAUGAAAUGUAUUCCUUUGUUAUACAGGUGGACGCCUAAUUUCUAAGACAUGAAAUGUAUUCCCUUGUUAUACAGGUGGGCACCUAUUUUCUAAAGACAUAAAAAUUUGUUCCCUUGUUAUACAGGUGGGCACCUUAUUGGUGAAGACAUGAAAAGUAUUCUCUUGUUAUACAGGUGUGUGCCUAAUGCUACGACAUGAAAAGUAUUCUCUUGUUAUACAGGUGGGCGCCUAAUUGGUAAAGACGUAAAAAUUAUUCCCUUUUUAUACAAGUGGGCGCCUAUUUGCUAAGACAUGAAAAGUAUUCCCUUGUUAUACAGGUGGGCGCCUAUUGCUAAGACAUAAAAAGUAUUCCCUUGUUAUACAGGUGGGCGCCUAAUGCUAAGACAUGAAUGUAUUCCCUUGUUAUGCAGGUGGACGACUAUUUGAUAUAACAUGAAAAGUAUUCCCUUGUUAUACAGGUGGGCGCCUAAAUGGUAAAGACGUGAAAAGUAUUCCCUUGUUAUACAGGUGGGCGCCUAAUUUUUAAAGACGUGAAAUGUAUUCCCUUGUUAUACAGGUGGAAACCUAUAUCCUAAGACAUGAAAUGUAUUCCCUUGUUAUACAGCUCAUCGCCUAAUGCUAAAGACAUGAAAAGUAUUCCCUUGUUAUACAGGUGGACGCCUAAUGCUAAGACAAGAAAUGUAUUCCCUUGUUAUACAGGUGGGAUCCUAAUCGCUAAGACAUGAAAUGUAUUCCCUUGUUAUACAGGUGGGCGCCUAGUUGCUAAAGACAUAAAAAUUGUUCCCUUGUUAUACAGGUGGGCGCCUAAUGCUAUGAUAUGAAAUGUAUUGAAUUUGUUUCCUCGUUCAUCCGAGAAAUUUUUGACAACAACAGAAAAUUUUCUGCCCAGUUUUGGUGACCUUCCUUGUGGCGUGUUUUUCUACCUUCAUCAACCUUUAUUUUCCUGUAUCAAUCAAAGAAAAUCUCGUCAGUUUAAAACAUGAUGAGCGAUCGUGCCACUCUUUCCAAUGCUAAGAUAUGAAAUGUAUUGAAUUUGUUUCCUCGUUCAUCCGAGAAAUUUUUGACAACAAUAGAAAAUUUUCUGCCCCAGUUUUGGUGACCUUCCUUGUGGCGUGUUUUUCUACCAUCAUCAACCUUUAUUUUCCUGUAUCAAUCAAAGAAAAUCUCGUCUGUUUAAAACAUGAUGAGCGAUCGUGCCACUCUUUCCGUGGAUGGUUUUUCCUUUCACUUUUCUUGCUUUGUGCUUCCAAACUGGUUGGGGAUAGCGUCAUUUGAUGGGGAUGAUAUUCCUACUGGGGAUGGUUUUCCAUUUAUCCCUACCCAGCUCAUUUGUUUCAAAACAAUGCUGGGGGAGUCUUUUUCAACUCCAAAACUUCUUUCUUCCAAGAUCUUAUUUUCCCUCAAUACUGCAGGGGAUAAAAUGUUAUCAUCUGGGGAUAACGUUAUUGAGGAUAAUACUGCUGGGGUUAUUUUGCUGCGGAUGAAUUCUCCCUUUAUCCUUCCCCUUUUCUGUGUUGUCCGACCGUCGGGGUUAUUAUUUUGCGGAUGAAUUCUCCCUUUCUCCUUCCCAUUUUCUUGUGUUGUCUGACCAUCUUAGAACUUGGUCAGUGAUCCAUCAAAGUUCUGCUGGGGGCCCUGUUAGAGCUUGAUCUAUAAGUUCCUCGAUCGUUGCUUUCCAGCUUUUCUCCAUAUUUCCCUUAACUUUCUAGGCGAAUUUGCCAUUUGGUCUUGUAACAACCGCCUUUUGUCUUAUUGCCUUGUUUUUGGCCUGUCCUCUUCACAUUUUGCUUUCUACCAUUUUAGCAAUUGAUAGUAAACUCUGAAAAAUCCUUCUAAAAACAAAUUUCUGGAAAAAGUCUUUUAGACAAAGAAAUGAAAAGAUAGAAAAAUAGAAAAAUCUCUCUGAACAAAUGCUGGGGGAAAAGAACAGGAGAGAACUUAUCUGGAUGGUAUGACUGGUCCCAACGAUCAUGUCGUGCAUUCCGGAUUAAUCGACCCAGCCUAUUUGUAUCAAUCAAUCUUUCUGAUGGCCUCAUUUUCCAUGAAAAAACAGACGCCCAAUUUUUGCCAUAUGCGGAUCCUUUCCGCCAAUCUCAUCUUGUCGCCUCAGAUCAAUCUUUCUGAUGGCCUCAUUUACCGGGGAUAAACAGAUGCCCAACUCUUUGCCUUAUGCGGAUCUGCCAAUCGCAUCUUAUCGCCUCAUAGUUCCCUUCGAGGGGUUUUUACCAAUAAGACUCUCUCAUUUCUCUCAACUCCCGUCGCCUUAUGGUGCCUGUGAAGGUUUUCACCACAAGACUCUCUCAUUUUAUUUCUCUCUGCUUACGUCUCCUUAUGGUGCAUGUGAAGGUUUUCACCAAUAAGACUCUCUCUUUUUGUUUCUCUCUGCUUAUGUCAUCUUAUGGUGCCUGUGAAGGUUUUCACCGAUAAGACUCUCUUAUUUUUUUCCAGCAUGGGGAUCAGAGUGUUAUCGAUAAGAUUCUCUCUACUUGGCAAUCUUUUGCCUAUCAAUUUUUCCAGCUUUAUGACCCUUGUAUGGUCGGGGAUCAGUGUAUUACCUUGGCUUUCAUCUGCCUGACUUGGUACUUCUCUGAUAACGACCGAGAAGUGUUUUUGGACAUGAGAUGUGGGUUUUGUGUGUGUAAAUAAAUUAUCAGGAAAUUCAAAAUAACUUGAUGGGUAAGAGAUUACAACUCUUGGAAUCAAACUUUUUCCAAAAUUAACAAAACAUAACUUCUACCCCGGUUUUCUUGCUUGGGGGACUUUUGAUUUUCCAUGACACUUUGUCACAUUGCGACCGAGCCGUGAAGAGCCUACGUAUCCUUUUGGAGGAAUCAGGUCGAACGUAGUUCACUACUAUUGUUUUGUCUUCUUGUGAUUUUUUUAUUAUUUAUUUUAAUUUUUACUUUUUUUCCCUUUUCUUUAACGAUUCCAAGAAGGGGUAUGAAAGAAUGAGUAAUGGCUCAAAAGGGGAAAGCAAAGGUUGAAAGUGUUUGGAUAGAAGAAAUAAUUGCCUCCGUCAUUUCAUAAUCCAAUAAGUACUAAAUACAAACAAAUAAACAAAUAACUAUCAUGGUCAAGGAAAUUACACAUAGUAUCUCUUGACUGCAUCCGAAUUGAUAGCCAUGUUGAAUCAUCUUCCUUCGAUAUCUACCAGACAUAAAGCGCCGUUGAAUAACGCUCUAGUCACAAUAUAAGGCCCUACCCAAUUUGGGGCGAACUUGCCCUUUACUUCGGCCUGAUACGGCAGGAUUCGUUUCAGCACUUGCCGCCCCACUUCAAAUUUCCUGGGACACACAUUCUUAUUAUUUCUCUUUCCAUUCUCUUUUGAUACAACUGGCCAUGACAUACUGCUGUCAAUCUAUUUUCAUCAAUUACGCUCAACUGCUCCAAUCGGGCUUCGACCCAUUCAUCAUCAAUGUCAGCCUCAACAAUAAUUCGGAGAGGCAGAAUUUCAACCUCUUCUGGUAUCCCUGUUUCAGUUCUGUAUACCAACAGAUAAGGAGUUGUACCUACUAAAGUAGUAACAGGAGUGCGAUAACUCAACAAUGCAAAUGAUAGCUUUUCAUGCCAUUGCCUGGACCCUUCUACCAUUUUCCUCAAUAUCUUCUUUAUGUUAUUGUUGGCCGCCUCAACCGCUCCAUUCGGGUUUUGACCCACUCAUUAUCAUCAAUCUAGUUCUUGUAUUAUUAAUUCAUAAUCAGAUUGAUUUUUUUCGACUGGGUUGAAGAUCCAUCGUGCAUGCCAUGUCACUAGAAUCAGUAUAAAGAGAACUGUUCAGAAAGAGAAAACAAGAAUAAAAAAUUAAACUAAAGUAAAAGUGAAGACGAAUUCUUUUUUUUUCAUUUUCCAUUGAAUUACGGGAAACAAGGUUUCACCCUUUGACAAGGAAAAAAUAAAAAAAAAUCGGAUUACAACCCGGGAAUGAUCCAGAAAACAAGAUGGAAAAUCAGAUCCCAUUACAAAGACUCCCUUCAGCUGACCCAGACAUGGAACGUCUUUCCAAUUAACAAGCACGGGAUUUUUAGCCAUUGAGCUUUGCAUCCAUAUUGCCAAGACGGCUAUAUGCUUCAAAAUCUUUAGCUUUAGUCAAUACAUUCCCAAAAGGAUUCUCAUACCCCAUGUCACCGAGCAUCAUUCCCACAAUGUGUGCAUCAUCGUGUGUAUGUAAAUGAUUCAGCGUGAUAUUCUGGGUGUUACUAUCUUGAAUAAAUUUUUUUUGGAUCUUGUGCUUCCAGCUUACCACAAACCGAUCACCCAAACUUUCAUUUGCGAUUCAAAACAAAACAGGUUAGAAUGGAUUCAGUCGGUCCUCAUUAUUAACAACAUCUUUUUCUUUUUCUUUUUCAUUCUUUUUCCAUUUUUCCUUUUUUUUGUUGUGGUCGGAUCUUAUGGAGAUUGCCUAUCAUGACCCGCCAUGAAUCAGACCUUGCGUAGUUCGGGCCAAUAAAAGAUAAACAACAAUGAAACAUUUUUUUGGGAUUUUUAAUUUUCAUGAUAAAACAAACUGAGUUUCAAAGGAUUAAAGAUGACCUACAAACUCAAAAAUCAAACAACUCACAUAUUCUAAUAGAAAGAAUUGCAAACUCAAAAACAAACGGCCAGCUAGCGUUCCCUGUUUGUUCAACUCACAUAUUCUAAUAGAAAGAGUUGCAAACUCAAAAAUAAACGGCCAGCUACCUUUCCCUGUUUGUCAAAUUCAACCCAAUGGCUGCUUUUGAAAACGUGGCCCUUUCACAUGAAUUUUGAGGCCGAGGAGUAUUAUGUUAUGACAUUUCACAAACUUGUUUGUUGUUUUACGAAAAUAGCCUUUCAAAAAUUAAAAGAUAUUCUAAGGCUAUCUCUGCAAGAACGGUUUAAGACAUCGCCGAAGCUGGCUUGGCUUAUUUUGACAAAAUUCCAAAUGGCACUCACUUGCCCACUGACUCUUAUUUUCAAAUUGAAAUAAAAGACCUGGUAUUGCAAACACGGCCUUUUAGCACCUCGGGGACGAAGAUUGUAAGCCUGCGUUAGCUAACCAGCCCAAAUCCUAAGACAAUGAUUAAAGGUGGCAGUUAAUGCAAAGUCAGCAUUCCGGCAUCCCUUUCGGGAACAUUCGGCUAUUUUCGGCAAAAAGAGCAUCACCGACUUAUUUUUGACUCUUUUCUUUUCUUUUUUUUUUCAAAACGGGAGACCCAAUAUUGCAAACACGACCUUCCAGCUUCUAGAGGAUGAUAAUUUUAAGGCUGUGUGGGUCAACCGGCCAAAAAUCUAAAGAAUGACCAAAGGUGGAUGCAAAGUCAGCCUUCCGGCAUCCCUUUCGAGAAUAUUCGGCUAUUUUUGACAAAAACGGCAUCACCCGACUUAUUAUGACGACAAUCAAAAUUGACACAUUUGUUUUUUGCUAUUUUAGCAAAAUGGGAGGUUGGACUCGAUGUGGUUGCCUACGUAUCUCACACCCAGUGAGAAUCAAACCAGCGUAGUUCAAAAAAUUAACCAAACUAUUUUAAAACAGGACUCAUUUUUAUUUUUAUUUUUGGCAUUUCAUAAGCAAAAAUAAAAAAAAACUAAUUUUAAAAGCAAGACCUUUUUUUUCUUUUCUUUUUCAACAGACAACCUAUUUUCCCAAUUAAAAAUAAAAGUUUUUUUUUUUAUUUUUCAACAAUCAAUACAACAACCUAUUUUUCAAACUAAUAAAUAAACGACUCUUUUACUUUUCUUUUUCAGCAGACAAUAAAAUAGCCUAAAAAUUGAAGACUUUUUUUUUCAUUUUUUAUGGCAAAAUAAACUUUUCUCUUUUUCAUUUUCGAAAACAUUACUUAAGAUCAUUUUCAUGGAAAAAUAAAAUAUUUUUCCUUUUCUAUUUUUGAAAACAAGACAAAAUAACGAUUUUUUUUUCAUUUUCAAUAAACAACCUAUUUUUUAAACUAAAAUAAAGACUCUUUUUCCCCUUUUCUUCAAAUAAAUAAAACAAAAAACGACUCUUUUUUUUCAUUUUUUUUCACAAUUUUGGUAAAGUUGUGCCGCUAUUUGAAAAUUAAUUUUCUUAAAACAUGUAAUUAACACUCUACACUGCUUUUUUUUUUUCGUUUUUUUCCCACAAUUUUCCAGUAUUUAAAGCCGGUCAGCAUGCCAAUCUGAAACAAAUAAAGGCAUAAAACAAACAGGAUGCAUCAUGAUGAUCCUUUCACUUCAGGUUUCUUGUCCUAGACGGAACCAACCCCUGCGUUGAGUCUCCAAAGUCAAAUGCACAUGAUGCAAAUAAGUAUCCUACUGGGGAUCCGACAUGAAGCUGUGUUUUACUAGGUAAAAGAAAAACAUGGGGUUUUGGUCUAGAGUUAAGGUACCCGAGCGGACAACUGGGGCUGAGGAGGGGGCGACGUAACGGGAGCACUAAAGUCUGCCGGACAUUGUUGCUUGCCCAACACUCGCUCUAUUUGGAAUUAUUUUUCAAAAGGCAGGCUACGCGAACGUAUGCACAAACUUCAGAAGACUCAGAAAGAAGUAGGGCUUUGUAGCAGUUUAUAUACACAGUUCAAAUAAUAUCACAGCGGUAAUAAAUAACAAUUUGCACAUUAAAUCCAAAAUAAAAUAUAAUAAACAUUAGAUAAUAGAGAAAGCCAAAUACAACAAUUAUUUUAAGCUCGAAUUUCUAACUCUGAACCAGUGGUUUUGGAUUAUGAUCCACAGCAGAGUCGCCAGAGCUGUCACACCUCCUUUUUACCUACCGCGAAAGGGGUAAAGGGAGUUUUUCCAAUAAAGGACAAUCGAAACGAGAUUUGUUUAUUUAAGAUUCAGAGUCGCCACUUGGGAGAUUUAUGGUGUCCCAAGUCACCGGUUGAAAUCCUGAAUCGAGGAAAAGAAUAACUCUGUUUAUCAGUCUGCGCAUUAGAAAUCCGGAUAAGGAAUUCUGUUAACCCGCGAGAAGGUGUUAGGCAUUUCCGAGUUCCGUGGUUCUAGCACGGUCGCUCAAUUGCUAUAUUUGGCUUAAAUUAUCUGAUUUUAAUACCUUUUUAACCUAUGUGCAAAUUUUAACUUUGAAACGCUAUUGUCAUUUAUUAUUUCUGAAGANNNNNNNNNNNNNNNNNNNNNNNNNNNNNNNNNNNNNNNNNNNNNNNNNNNNNNNNNNNNNNNNNNNNNNNNNNNNNNNNNNNNNNNNNNNNNNNNNNNNNNNNNNNNNNNNNNNNNNNNNNNNNNNNNNNNNNNNNNNNNNNNNNNNNNNNNNNNNNNNNNNNNNNNNNNNNNNNNNNNNNNNNNNNNNNNNNNNNNNNNNNNNNNNNNNNNNNNNNNNNNNNNNNNNNNNNNNNNNNNNNNNNNNNNNNNNNNNNNNNNNNNNNNNNNNNNNNNNNNNNNNNNNNNNNNNNNNNNNNNNNNNNNNNNNNNNNNNNNNNNNNNNNNNNNNNNNNNNNNNNNNNNNNNNNNNNNNNNNNNNNNNNNNNNNNNNNNNNNNNNNNNNNNNNNNNNNNNNNNNNNNNNNNNNNNNNNNNNNNNNNNNNNNNNNNNNNNNNNNNNNNNNNNNNNNNNNNNNNNNNNNNNNNNNNNNNNNNNNNNNNNNNNNNNNNNNNNNNNNNNNNNNNNNNNNUUAUUGUCAUUUAUUAUUUUUGAAGAGAAUUGCAACGUCUUGAGAAUAUAUCUCGAACUACAUCACAUAAAUAUAUCCGUAGUUUUUAAUAUGUUCCGACUUCGUUGGGAUUUGGAUUUGGGUCACAUAAACGUGUACCCGAGUUUAGGGAAGAUAACAUUAUUGAACACGCGCCUAAAGAUACUACCGCGUUAUUAUUUUUUGAGAAAGCCGUGAAAUUUGUUAUACGGACUAUCUCGAAAUCUAAACAAUUAUUAACAAUUUAUUGAGGGCCCCGGCGCUUGUGCAUUUUUAUUCGGCGAGGCUCGUCUCAUUUAUUUUAAAAGGGCAAGCAUAAGGCAAGUACAAUUUCUAUUUUGCAAGGACAUAAAAAAUUAAACUAAUGGCACACCUUGAUUUCUAAAGGGUUUUAUUGAUUAGGUGAGGUCCAUGGAUUAUAGAAAGUAUGGAAGAAAAAACGUAAAUUAGAUGGAAAAGGAGGUAUGGCUUAUUGAAGAAUUAUACUAAAGUUAUGGAGCUUCGCAGGCUGAACUAUUAAUCUAAUGUCACAUACAAUUCCUCUCUCUGUAUUUUAUAAGUUCGAUUAUGAGAACAAGAAAAACAAACUUAUUAGCCUUAACUCCAAAUUAAUGAUACUACAAUGUAUUUAAUAAUAAAAGAAGCUGCUUUUGUGAAAGAGUUCAUGCCAAUCUUCUUUUAUUAGUUUAAUUAUUCAAAAUUGGGUGAACUAAGAUUGGCAACGAAGCAAUAAAGUUAUCUUUACAAUCUAAGGAUCAAAUACAGUAAUAAGUGAUCGACCAACACAAUGCAAAACAAUCACUUAUAGAAACCAAACAAAAUAUGACUUGUAAUUAUAAUAGGAAUAGAGAUGGAUAUGCUAGCAAUUAGAUUUCCACAAGCCUACUAACAAUAUAUAUUAGUAUAUUAUAUAAACUACCUCAAAUCAAUGUAUCAAACUAGGCAUACAACAACACCUAAGAUUAAACGUGCAAGUGAAUAAUUGAGUUCCUAACUCAUUUAAUACAUCACUCUUUAGGAAGACGCUUAAAUUAGACAGUGUUCACAUAAUAAAUUUGAAACCUCGAACUAUAAUUCUGAAUCCCUUUGUUCAACACCCGACUUUGAACUACUAAGUGUAUAAAAACUCAUUCCACCAUAUGGUCGACACAUGACUGAACUAUGCUAAAACCUUAGACAAUACUCAUGGGUAAACUAAGCUAUUUUAAACAUGAGUUCACAAUCAUACACCACAAGCCAUUCACAGCAAAAGAAUAUCUCAUAGUAUCUUUCAAACAACACACUACACUUUAAUACUUUUGCCCUUAGCCUCCUUUCAGCCAGUCCAUCAUAUAUUUCAGGUUUAACUAGUCCAAGUUACACAAACUAUAACAGAUCUUAGUUAUUCAAACCUCUAGAUUACCAUUACAUAUCUAACAGAACUUAGACAUUCAAAAUGAUCAGAAAAUAGAACUGCAUAGAAGCCAAUGCAAUAACAGUAGUGCUUGCAUUUCAAUCUCUCUUCCAAAUAGGCUUUAUUCAACUUAAUAUUUAUACGUCAUUCAAUGUUGAGAUAAAUACCUGGGCACAGAACAGAAAAGGAGAAGACGGAAUCAGCUGAUACACCAAUCGAGCAGCAACAACAAUCAGCAAUCAACAAAAACCAGUAACAACCAAUAAAACCCAGCAGCAGAGUAACAGAAGGCCAACAGAACUCCCAACAACCCAAUAGAACAGUAACAAUAACCAAUAGCAAACUCAGGCAAACCCAAAUGACAAACCAGAGAUACCAAUCAACCACACAAACAGAACCAGACUGAUUAAGAGGAUGCAAUGAAACUAUGAAUUUUCUCUUCAACUCUCAAAUACUGAACUUUAAGUGUUAAAGUCUAGCAAAGUUUUUCCGGAGAAAGAAACUGAAAGAAAACUGAUGGACUACUUGUGCAGGGAUUAGCCUACGUUUGCUUUUUAACUCUGAAUUCUUAAUGUAAAAUCCAGCUCUUAAACACUCGAUAUCUAGUCCAAAAAUUCAGUCCUCUCUUUUCUGCUCUCAAAACUUAAUUUCUAAUGCUCUAAAAAUCUCCCCCCAUUCAGUCUUCAAUUCCCCCUAUUUAUAACCCAUUUCCACCCUAAAAAGCACUAAGCCAGUUGCCUCAUUCAUUACUCCGUCAUGCCCCAUUUUGCCUUUUUAGCUCUAUGGAGCGUUAUCUCUAAUUAAAGAAGUAAAUGUACCCAUGUUCUUUUCUGCAUUUCCCAUUCAAAAGUUCAAAAGGAGUAAUAUUCCCUGACAUCCCCCCAUUUAAUAUUAAAGUGUUUUCCCUUUUAUUAAACUAGAACAAUAUGGGCAGCAGGAAUAUGCCCUGACAGCACAUGCUGUCAAAUUACCUUAGACUCAUUAAAGAAUUAACAGUUCACAUGCUUGCUGGGGUCCUAAACAAAGCCAAUAUUCAUCUAAAAAUGCAUAAACCAGGGGAUCAUUUCAAUACUAGUCUAAACUAAAUGCCUGGUUAAUUGCAAUUCAAAUUGAAUCUAGUAUGAAUUCAAAUGCUAAUGGAUUCAGGCAGAAGAAUCGAAUUAACAUGAAAUUUUGAAUCCACCAUUGGCAAACUGGUACCAACCAGCUCGAAGAGCACGAACAAAUUUCAAACCAAUAAUCGACCAAACUUAAUUACAGACAAAUAUAAUUACAAACAAAGAAAAUCGACCAAAUAAAAUGUCUGUUGGAGAUGGAUAGAAAUGAAAGAGGAAAAAUUGAAAACUUAAAUAAACUAAACUAAAUGUGUAUCAGAUAGGAAUCAGGCAUAUAAAAUAGAAUGAGGAAGAAAAGGCACCUCGAGCAUUCAAAGAACACAGACGACCCAAGUUCGAAAUCGGACUUGCCUGCUUUGAGGUCGAACAGACCUUAGUCGAAGUGUUAUCACAUGAUAACACCUCGAUUAGGGUCGAUUAAACCCGAAACCCAUAAGUUAUUCAGACAGAUUCCAAGAUUUGAAAUUAUUUAGGGUUCUUGAGAGUAAUUUGGGGUUUAUGAUUUUCUGGGCAGAUUCGAAUCGGACCAAAGGCGUUUAUGAUAUAAGGGAGGUCAGGGGGUGACAUUGUGUGAGUUUGGGGGCUGAUUGGGAUAGGUUUGGUUUUCACUCGAAUCUUCGAUUGAAGAUUCGAGAAGCUGAAGAUUGAUUUGACGGAAGCGGUUAAGGAAUUCGUGUUUAGCGUGUAAAGGGGGUUAAGGGGUGUUAAUUUGGUGAUCAUUGGCAUCGUUGCCGCCAGGUUUACGACGAAGGGGAGGGGUGGCGGCUGCUAGGUUUUGGGGAAGGGUUUGAUCUCUGAACUCAGAGACGAAGAGGGGGCUAUGGCUAUUUGGGGGGGGC
rnacentral:lncRNA from 1 species